CCUACGGGCGGCUGCAGUGGGGAAUAUUGCACAAUGGGCGCAAGCCUGAUGCAGCCAUGCCGCGUGUGUGAAGAAGGCCUUCGGGUUGUAAAGCACUUUCAGCGGGGAGGAAGGCGGUGAGGUUAAUAACCUCAUCGAUUGACGUUACCCGCAGAAGAAGCACCGGCUAACUCCGUGCCAGCAGCCGCGGUAAUACGGAGGGUGCAAGCGUUAAUCGGAAUUACUGGGCGUGAAGCGCACGCAGGCGGUCUGUCAAGUCGGAUGUGAAAUCCCCGGGCUCAACCUGGGAACUGCAUUCGAAACUGGCAGGCUAGAGUCUUGUAGAGGGGGGUAGAAUUCCAGGUGUAGCGGUGAAAUGCGUAGAGAUCUGGAGGAAUACCGGUGGCGAAGGCGGCCCCCUGGACAAAGACUGACGCUCAGGUGCGAAAGCGUGGGGAGCAAACAGGAUUAGAUACCCUAGUAGUC
rnacentral:rRNA from 1 species